UUCCCGCUGUCGAUCGCCAUUGGCGCCAAUUGCGACAAAAUAAAAAAUCUGGCGACAAAAUUUCGUAAAUGGCGAUUUUAAAAAAAUCGUCAUUUUUCUGCAUUUAUAUUUUCUUAAAAUGACAAAAGACGCUGUGUUUACCAGCCGCUUUACGGCAGUCGUAAUACUAUAGAUUUCCAUGAUGUAAGCGAUACAGCUGUUUUCAAUGGAGCGUGGAGCUGACUGCAUACUACCGCAAAGUGGCAUGUUAUGGUGAUAAUUGCGAUUAUCUGGAGUGUUGUUGCAAGUUAUCUUAAUUGGUCGGCAGUUUUAUUGCAUCAGAGAUAAGGCAAUAUUGAAAUAUGCCGACUUUGCGCUUAAAUGUGAAGUGUUUGUCACAGUGUUCGAAGCAGAUUCAAGACCAGUAAAUUGACAACAAUGACAAUCAAAAAGAAUACCAUAGAGCUUAUGAAGCACCAAUACUGUGGCAACAUAUUCAGGCUGCUAAGAAGGUGUCAAUCAACAAGAGUUACAACUGAUUGAAUGUGCCUUUAUUUAAUGAACAAUUUUUAAUGUGUUGUUAUUAUAAAUACUACUGUUAUUAAAUCAAUUCCUUUAACAUACAUUAAAUGCUCAUUUUUUGGUAUUAUAAUAACAUGAUUUUCAUCGCCCAAAUGUUGCCCCAGUGUGGCGACAACUUUUUUAAUUCGGCGAAAGUAAGUGGCGACAACUUUUGAAAGCCCAGAGGGAACCCUGCUAACAAUAGCAAAUAAGCAAGCAUAUACACGUAUAUAUAUCCAGUUAAAACUGUGUUUGAUUUCAGUUAUUAGUGCGGUGUUAAAUAUUCAUAUUGUAUAAACCAUAAACUUAAACAUAACAAUUACAGAUGUGCAUUGCCCCAUCACCUUUGUCCAGCCACCUGGCUUGACUUGUAACAGAUAUCAGGAUUCCCUGCGGAGUAGUUGUGUGCUUACUUCUCGGGUUCCACCACCAAUGAUGGCUUCCCCAAGGCUACAACUACAUACAGAAGAGGAUAGUGAACAGUCAGCGUGUGAUGUAAGAAACGGGCAUUCAGCCGGCAAAUAUAAACCAGCACACCUUAACUGCUUGUUUUCAUGUGCAGUGCUCUUGGAAAGUGCAGGGAGAGGAUCUUGCUGGAACAGGUGCUCACCCUUCAGUUGGCUCGAUUGGUAGCGCACAAGUCACUGCCAGCGCCCAUGAAUAGGCCAGACGCCCUGGAGAUGGGAACCACUGAUGCAUGAUCAGUUCCCGAUCUAGAGCAGCACUAAAGGCGACCUCCUUAAAGCCUACUUUCUGGAAUACAUCUGU